GAUGAAGAACGUAGCGAAAUGCGAUAAGUAAUGUGAAUUGCAGAAUUCAGUGAAUCAUCGAAUCUUUGAACGCACAUUGCGCCCGCCAGUAUUCUGGCGGGCAUGCCUGUUCGAGCGUCAUUACAACCCUCAGGCCCCCGGGCCUGGCGUUGGGGAUCGGCGGAAGCCCCCUGCGGGCACAACGCCGUCCCCCAAAUACAGUGGCGGUCCCGCCGCAGCCUCCAUUGCGUAGUAGCUAACACCUCGCAACUGGAGAGCGGCGCGGCCACGCCGUAAAACACCCAACUUCUGAAUGUUGACCUCGAAUCAGGUAGGAAUACCCGCUGAACUUAAGCAUAUCAAUAAGCGGAGGA
rnacentral:misc_RNA from 1 species